rnacentral:lncRNA from 1 species
AAAGGAGAAAGAACUGUGCUUCCUGCCAACUUCAUGGGAUUAUCCUGAAGCUCAUGUGGAAAGGUUGGUAGGAAACUGUUUCCCAAACCAAAGUGGAGGGCUGGCAUUGUAGCUGAGCCCUCUCUGGAAUUCAGACAAGCCUGGGCUUGUUUGGGAAAGCCUGGGCAGACCCCCAGCAGUCAAUUAGUGAGAUUUUUGGUUUGUUUGCGACCGAAAGGGAACAAGGAAGUGAUUUUGCACCUCGGGUCUGCGGAAGGAAGUGGCCAGUGUCCCCUGGGUGCGUCUUGAAAAUUGUCCUGACAGCUCAGCUCUGCCCCCGCCUGAGCCCUGUGCAGCGAGGGUCUGGUGAUGGAGCUGGCGAUAGAGCUGAUGAUUGAGCUGAGAGACUGCUUUGGCCAGGGGAGCCCUGAGCUGGACCGGAGCACCCACAGAGCCAGCGUGGGACCAGGACACAGAGUGACUUAGUGACCGUGGGCCUUGAGAAGCAGCUGGGGCAAAAGACAGGAGGCCUGUGCGUGAGCUCUGGUGGACCCUCCAGGGCUCCUAGAAGUGUGUGCGUGCCUGGAGGGGGCCAGCCUACAUAGCAGAGGCACAACUGCUAAAAUGCGGUCACCAUCAUCGCAGUGACACCAUGGGCAGGCCUGGGGCAACCUGAGCAGCAGCUUCGAAAGGAUGUAGCAAUGGGCUGGCUUCCUGUUCGUUUUCAGGAGUAAAUUCAGAAAAGUGAGGUGCUUUUCGGGCCAGGUCCUUAGAGACCGUGUCAUGUCACUAAUCUGGUGCCCGUCUUGAUGCCGGUCGUGGUCGAGGGCAGAAAGCUGGGGUUGGAGCCACAGGGUUCUCAAUCCAGAGCUUCGCUCCACCUUUAUGAACAAGGUGGUCUUGCCUCAUGUCCCACUGCGCAGCUGUGCUGCAGUCACCCAGCACGCCCGCCACCUGCGGAACAGGGGUACAAAGGGACCGUGUGGUCGGGGCUCUAACCAGGACAUGAGUGAAGCAGUCCAGGAGUGCCUUUCCCGGGGGUGGAGAGGGCAGGGCAGCAGCGGGCUGUGAAUUCAUGCCCCCGCUUCACCUGGAGCAAGGCCGUUAUCCCUCGGGAUCUCCCCGAUUCUCCCGCAAGCUGGCAGACACACUCACUCUUCAGACGAAAUGAGAUCACAUCUGUGAACUGCUUAGCACCGUGCCUGGC